GGGUCAGUAGGUUGGUCGUGCCACCGGUACGUACUGGUCUAACUGAUUCCUCCUUCCUGAAGAACCGUAAUGCCAUUAAUUUGGUGUUUCGGGGAAACAGGACUGUUACUUUGAAAAAAUUAGAGUGUUUAAAGCAAGCUAACGCUUGAAUACAUUAGCAUGGAAUAAUGAACUAGGACGAUCGAUCCUAUUUUGUUGGUUUCUAGGAUUGACGUA
rnacentral:rRNA from 1 species